AAAUUAAUUACUUCGGUGGGAGCUUAUAAUUCCCAAUCAGUUCUAGCUCAAAAAUGCAUGACCUGUGGGCUAUGGUCACCCCAAAUAUGAGUUGACCGGAAGUUCCGGCGAGUGUUUGUGUGUGUGUGUUGGUGCUCUUGGACAGAUCAAUGGACAAGAUGGAGGUGGCACUGGACUCCAGGAUGCAGUGCAUCAAGAUCCUGUCCAGUUCUAGCCAGAAAUGGAUGGUAGGUCACUCGAAAAACAGUUGACCGGAAGUUCCAGCGAAGGAUUGAGUGCUUUUGGACAGAUCACUGGAUAAAUAUGGAUGGAUAUGGAGCUUUUGCAAUGAUUACUGGAUAUAUAUACGAGGUGUCAUCAUUCAAGACUCCAGAGCACCGAAAACGUCUUCAGAAAAGAAAAAACGGUUUAUCUCUUAAUCAUGUUGUUAAUGGACUCAAGCAAAUAAAUAUGUGCGUACCUCUCGGACCGGACAAUUAAAAGCAGUGGUUAAUUAUUAACUAUUAAUUGAUUAUGCAAUGCAUAUAUGUACACAAAUACAUAUUAUAGAUCAUAGCCAAUAUAAAAAAGUAAUC